GACGAACGCUGGCGGCGUGCCUAAUACAUGCAAGUCGAACGCUGAAGGAGGAGCUUGCUUCUCUGGAUGAGUUGCGAACGGGUGAGUAACGCGUAGGUAACCUGCCUGGUAGCGGGGGAUAACUAUUGGAAACGAUAGCUAAUACCGCAUAAUAGUAGAUGUUGCAUGACAUUUGCUUAAAAGGUGCAAUUGCCUCACUACCAGAUGGCCCUGCGUUGUAUUAGCUAGUUGGUGGGGUAACGGCUCACCAAGGCGACGAUACAUAGCCGACCUGAGAGGGUGAUCGGCCACACUGGGACUGAGACACGGCCCAGACCCCUACGGGAGGCAGCAGGAGGGAAUCUUCGGCAAUGGACGGAAGUCUGACCGAGCAACGCCGCGUGAGUGAAGAAGGGUUUCGGAUCGUAAAGCUCUGUUGUAAGAGAAGAACGAGUGUGAGAGUGGAAAGUUCACACUGUGACGGUAGCUUAACAGAAAGGGACGGCUAACUACGUG
rnacentral:rRNA from 1 species